CCUGGACAUUCUGUCUCAAUGGGAGACUGUAUUGAAAUCCAAAGUUACAUUACGUCAACUGGCUGCCCUUGAAAUAACAUGGAUUGGAGAGACUUGGAGGCACCCUCAUGGACAUGCUUGAGCUCCCUGUCUUAGGAGAGAGAAGAUCAAAGCUCAGAGAUCAUAAAAAGGCUCAGAGGAUAUCACAGAGUUCAGAAAAUACAAUGGAAUCAUAUUACCCUGGACCUCACCUACAUGAGUCUCAGGUAGCUGAAAACUACUGCUGCUGUCUCUACUGCUCCUGCUCCUGUUUACUGAUUCCAGCAAUUGUCCUGUUUAGUACAUACACUUUAUGUGUUCUGCUAAAGAAACAUUUUUUUUAAUUAAAAAAAGGAAAGCUGUCA